rnacentral:rRNA from 1 species
AGUGAACGCUGGCGGUAGGCCUAACACAUGCAAGUCGAACGGCAGCACAGUAAGAGCUUGCUCUUACGGGUGGCGAGUGGCGGACGGGUGAGGAAUACAUCGGAAUCUACUUUUUCGGGGGGGAUAACGUAGGGAAACUUACGCUAAUACCGCAUACGACCUACGGGUGAAAGCAGAGGUUCUUCGGACCUUGCGCGAUUGACUGAGCCGAUGUCGGAUUAGCUAGUUGGCGGGGUAAAGGCCCACCAAGGCGACGAUCCGUAGCUGGUCUGAGAGGAUGAUCAGCCACACUGGAACGGGGACACGGUCCAGACUCCUACGGGGGGAAGCAGUGGGGAAUAUUGGACAAUGGGCGCAAGCCUGCUCCAGCCAUACCGCGUAGGUGAAGAAGGCCUUCGGGUUGUAAAGCCCUUUUGUUGGGAAAGAAAAGCAGCAGGUUAAUACCCCGCUGUUCUGACGGCACCCAAAGAAUAAGCACCGGCUAACUUCGUG